rnacentral:misc_RNA from 1 species
GAGUGGUGUUUGGUUUGUCACGUGUGGUUGGCUGCGGCGUUUGCAACAACUUCCAUGCUUUCAGACCUCUUCAGUUGUGCGGCAAGGCUUGUAUCGCCUUGUCCGUAUUGUGGGUUUUCUGUGUUGAAUACCUAAUCAAUGGUAUCGGUUGGAUUGAUCAAUGUUUCAUUUCGUUUGUCGUUGCAUUCGCGGCGUGAGACGAACCUUGAUGCGGUCUCUUUGGUCCACCUCGUCGAAGCACAUGCUUUGACGUUGUGGCACAUUGAGCAUUGCUUGGUCUCUUGUAUACGGAACAUAUAGUGGGCAUGGGUCUAACGAUUCUUGUUUGCCCUCACGUUAGCGUAACGCUUCUCUUACACGACUUGCUCCACGUUUUAGCUCGUACGGACGUGGUGCUGUGUCGAAGAGGAAUGCUACCUGGU